CUUUAUGUUAAAUUAUUCCCCCAAGUUGCCAGCAAGGAUGUGGGAAGAGGAAAAUAAACAGGGGAGAGGCUUCUGGCAGGAUUACGUUCCCUUCUGCUCCUUAUUUCCCCGGCGGAGAUGUUCCUGCACAAGUGCAGGGAAGCAGCUCUCGGGUGGCCCCGGCAGCGCUGAAGGUGAGGGAUGCUGAGGAUCUGGAUCCCCCCGGGAAUGCGGUUCCAUCCUCCCGGCACUCGGGACCGGCCCGGGGAUUAUUGAAUGGAGCCGGCAAGGAUUAAAUCACAUUUAAAAUAUAAAUCCACAUUUAAAUUGUAAAUAAAUAAAUAUAUGGAUAAACGCGUACAUUCCAUAUAUAGCUACAUAUAUAUAUAUAUGUAAAUGCAUAUAAAUUAUCUAAAUAAGCGUUCUAAAUAAAUAUAUCAUUGCUAAAUAUAUCAAAAUAAAUAGACAUAUAAAUAUAUAA